AGCAAUCAACAUUCGAAAAUAACAUACGCAAACUCUGAUUGAUAAAGACAUACCUGACUAUUUCUCAUGAUGAAUAUUGUGUUUGGCUUUUUUUGACCUCACCAUGUUGGGUAAAGCUGACAAACUCUUAAGUACCUUUUGUGUGAUGUAACUUCAUAUUCAAUUAUGAUAAACCUUAUUCCCUGUUAGUAGAACUCAAGAAAAUCACGUCCAAUCACUCUCAAAGGUAUCACCACUUGGGGGUAAAUAAACAGAGACGUCCAAGCAUUUUUG
rnacentral:lncRNA from 1 species